rfam:Schistosoma margrebowiei strain Zambia genome assembly, scaffold: SMRZ_scaffold0000496
AUCCAACUGACGGGUCCAAGAUAAGACGAAACGAGCUUCCUGGAC